rnacentral:rRNA from 1 species
AUGAACGCUGGCGGCGUGCCUAAUCCAUGCAAGUCGAGCGAACAGACGAGGAGCUUGCUCCUCUGACGUUAGCGGCGGACGGGUGAGUAACACGUGGAUAACCUACCUAUAAGACUGGGAUAACUUCGGGAAACCGGAGCUAAUACCGGAUAAUAUAUUGAACCGCAUGGUUCAAUAGUGAAAGACGGUUUUGCUGUCACUUAUAGAUGGAUCCGCGCCGCAUUAGCUAGUUGGUAAGGUAACGGCUUACCAAGGCAACGAUGCGUAGCCGACCUGAGAGGGUGAUCGGCCACACUGGAGCUGAGACACGGUCCAGACUCCUACGAGAGGCAGCAGUAGGGAAUCUUCCGCAAUGGGCGAAAGCUUGACGGAGCAACGCCGCGUGAGUGAUGAAGGUCUUCGGAUCGUAAAACUCUGUUAUUAGGGAAGAACAAAUGUGUAAGUAACUAUGCACGUCUUGACGGUACCUAAUCAGAAAGCCACGGCUAACUACGUG